AAGUUCAAUUUCAAAUUGUUUCAAAAGAACGAGUAUUCUUGGUUAAGGUCGGUGCCUGGAAAUGCUUAUGAAGCGAACUGCGUUAUGUGUCGGAAGAAUUUCAAACUUGGGACAAUGGGGAUCAGAACGGUGGAAUCGCACGUGCAGAGCAAAAAACACAGAGACUAUGUAAAGGCACGCCAGCAGCCUGCAAUUGCUAGUUUCCGCUCCACCAUUUCCACCGCUAGCAACGAUGUCAACGCUACAACACUGGAUGUUACGAUAGGAAAUCCACAGCCAACAAUGCCAUCUGACCUCUCCGAGCAGAGGUGAUUUGGGUGCUGAGGACUGUGACAAGCCACCAUUCAUACAGGUCUAAUGACGGGAUUAAAGAAGUGUUCAAAUCAAUGUUUCCAGAUUCGGGGCUUGUACAGUCAUUUACCUGUGGAAAAGACAAGAACAA